rnacentral:rRNA from 1 species
CCUACGGGAGGCAGCAGUGGGGAAUUUUGGACAAUGGGCGCAAGCCUGAUCCAGCAAUGCCGCGUGAGUGAAGAAGGCCUUCGGGUUGUAAAGCUCUUUUGUCAGGGAAGAAACGGUGGUUCCUAAUACGGACUACUAAUGACGGUACCUGAAGAAUAAGCACCGGCUAACUACGUGCCAGCAGCCGCGGUAAUACGUAGGGUGCAAGCGUUAAUCGGAAUUACUGGGCGUAAAGCGUGCGCAGGCGGUUAUAUAAGUCAGAUGUGAAAUCCCCGGGCUCAACCUGGGAACUGCAUUUGAGACUGUAUGGCUAGAGUGUGUCAGAGGGGGGUAGAAUUCCACGUGUAGCAGUGAAAUGCGUAGAUAUGUGGAGGAAUACCGAUGGCGAAGGCAGCCCCCUGGGAUAACACUGACGCUCAUGCACGAAAGCGUGGGGAGCAAACAGGAUUAGAUACCCUGGUAGUCCACGCCCUAAACGAUGUCUACUAGUUGUCGGGACUUAAUUGUCUUGGUAACGCAGCUAACGCGUGAAGUAGACCGCCUGGGGAUACGGUCGCAAGNUUAAAACUCAAAGGAAUUGACGG